AGAGAAUGGCUCAAGAAGUCUGAGCCGUUGCCUAAAGUGUUGUGUCAAGAAAAUGACUAACCGAUACUGCAUAUGUUGAAAGCAAGAGCCAAAAGAUGGUGGUCAAAAAUUGAAUUAGAUUAUGAUCAAGUAAAUGCUACAUGUUCCACAUAGCAAAUAGGUCCAAUUAUUAAAAAAAUAACAAAGCAUACAUAAUGUGGCGAAGAACCUGAAACAAUUACAAUUUUAAACUUCUAUACAUAAUUGGAGGUGCUUAAGUAAACCUUGGCUGAAGAUUUUGUGUCGAGGAAACCCUUCAAAUUGUUCCAGAUCAACUUGAACACACUGCCCACAUACACAAUAAAAAUAUGAUGCAAGGUCUGCAAUUUUAAAUUAAAAUUAUUACUGCACUACACCAUAAUACUUCUUUCAAACUAUCAUAAUUUUAAACAAACUAUUCAGUAUCUACAACUAAGUAAAAUAACCGCCGAUAAUAGUCGAUCUUUAUCUUCUACAUAUGAACAUAUAUGUGGUAUAUUUGUACCAGAAACAUAAGAAGAGGGACCUUACAAUGCUUGCCAGUGUUGGGGAUCAACACUGGUCACAUCCAUGCCAAGGUGGGCUUCAGGUCAGAGAGAGAUGCAACUGGCAACGUCCUCUACCUCUACUCCGGGGCGACCCUCCUUGUGCGUCCUCUUGCUUGAUGGUAUCCUUUGACUACAGAUCAUCCAAAUUCCUCCACCUCUGGGCAUCAUUUACUGCAGAGAAACGGAGUUAAGAGGGGGCUUAGUUUUAGACACCAAUCUAACUAUGGGAUAACAUCAUUAUGGAAGUAGGAAGGAGCCUUGGCGAAUAAUAGAUAUGUUUGAAAUAAAUAGACCAAACAUGCUAAUUACAAGAGGAAGAACAUGUUGAUCCAUCUACGACUUAUAAUGACCUAACGUCUAAGUUAUAACAUCAUUAUGGAAGUAGGCAGGCGCCUUGGUGAAUAAUAGAUAUGUUUAAAAUUAAAUAGACCAAACAUACUAAUUAGCAGCGGAAGAAUAUGUUGAUUCAUAUAUGAAUUCUAAUGGCCUUACAUGAUGCUCAGCGCCAUCGAGCGACCAUCAAUAAAAAUUACAGUUCUCCACAUUAGUAAUCUAACACCAAGAAAAUAAAUAAG
rnacentral:lncRNA from 1 species